GGUUCCAUGGUGUAAUGGUUAGCACUCUGGACUCUGAAACCAGUGGUCUGAGUUCAACUCUCAGUGGAACCU